rnacentral:misc_RNA from 1 species
CCGAGUUUACAACUCCCAAACCCCUGUGAACAUACCUUUAUGUUGCCUCGGCGGAUCAGCCCGCGCCCCGUAAAACGGGACGGCCCGCCGCAGGAAACCCUAAACUCUGUUUUUAGUGGAACUUCUGAGUACAAAAAACAAAUAAAUCA